GUCUUUUAGAGUUUAUUAAAAGUCUGACCUGCCCAAUGAAUAAUUGAAUGGCCGCGGUAUUUUGACCGUGCAAAGGUAGCAUAAUCAUUUGUCUUUUAAUUGAAGGCUGGAAUGAAUGGUUGGACGAAAAAUUGACUAUCCUUAAUAUAAUAGCAGAACUUAAUUUUUAAGUUAAAAAGCUUAAAUUUAAUUAAGGGACGAGAAGACCCUAUAGAACUUUAUCAUUUAUUUUUCUCCCACAAUUUUUUAUCACUUGUGGGAGAGUUGUGAUUGCUUUUGUUGGGGUGAUAUGGAAAUUUAAAUAACUUUCUUUUUUUCUGUUCAUUAAUUAUUGUAUUUUUAGAUCCAGAGUAAAUUCUGAUUGUAAGUUUAAGUUACCUUAGGGAUAACAGCGUAAUUCUUUUGGAGAGUUCAUAUCGAUGAAAGAGUUUGCGACCUCGAUGUUGGAUUAAAGUUAGUAUUAGGAGUAGAUAUUUAUAUACUAGGUCUGUUCGACCUUUAAAAUUUUACA
rnacentral:rRNA from 1 species